GUGGGGAAUCUUGCGCAAUGGGCGAAAGCCUGACGCAGCCAUGCCGCGUGAAUGAUGAAGGUCUUAGGAUUGUAAAAUUCUUUCACCGGGGACGAUAAUGACGGUACCCGGAGAAGAAGCUCCGGCUAACUUCGUGCCAGCAGCCGCGGUAAUACGAAGGGGGCUAGCGUUGCUCGGAAUUACUGGGCGUAAAGGGCGCGUAGGCGGACAGCUUAGUCAGAGGUGAAAGCCCAGGGCUCAACCUUGGAAUUGCCUUUGAUACUGGCUGGCUUGAGUUUGGGAGAGGUGAGUGGAACUCCGAGUGUAGAGGUGAAAUUCGUAGAUAUUCGGAAGAACACCAGUGGCGAAGGCGACUCACUGGCCCAAUACUGACGCUGAGGCGCGAAAGCGAGGGGAGCAAAAGGGAUUAGAAACCCUUGUAGUCC
rnacentral:rRNA from 1 species